AAAGAAGAUGAUUCGGAGAUUAGCGUUGGGAUACUUCCCCAGUGGAGAAGUCCUAUACAAGAGGAGCUCCAACGGUGAGUUAUUGAGAUGUGUAGAUGCAAAAGAAGCGAAGAAAAUCCUUUUUGAGACUCAUGAGGGAAAUUGUGCAACCCAUGCCAACGGGCAUAUGAUGGCUAAGCAAAUCAUGCGGCGGGGGGAUUUUUGGACCACAAUGGAAAAG
rnacentral:misc_RNA from 1 species